CAUUACUAAUAAAGUGGGACAAAAUAUUUCUGAUGAAGUGUAAGAAGAAUUAUGUUUUUCUAUGCAACUCAGACAAGCUGGAGGAUGGACCGACACAGGUACCAGUUCCGGACUAUUAGCACUGAAGAUAUGAAAUGCUAGAGAUACCAGAAGUUUUAUCAGAUGAAGAAUGACCUGAGUGCCACCAUUACUGAAGUCUAGGAAAAGCAAACAAGUUACAUUAGAGACUGCUACGAUAUGGGAAUACAGAGUUGAAAUUGCAGAUGAACAUAAGGAGGAAUUACGAACUCUUCAUCUUGCUCAAAAAAGCUUCAGUCCAGAAAAAUCCAAACAGAAAUGCACUUGCGGUAAUUCGAUGUGCUGAAUGAGUUUGGAGAACUCACGCAAGGACACUUCAUUUGCAGAAUCUGCUCAUCUGCCAAGUGUCGCACCCUCAGCCUUUUAGAAAAAUUCUGCCCUAAAGAAAACUUGUCGUGAAAUUUCAGUUCGUCUUUGAUACAACUAGAAAGAUCCCAAUCCAUGUGAAGGGUAGCACCGGACUUACCUGCACUUUGUAGCAGUUCCUGAUGUGCUCCUGCUUUUUCCUCCGCCACACCAACCCCAGUUUGCUCGGCUGGUAAGCCGCCGUGGUUACUACUAUUAGUGCUUGGUGCUGCAGGUGCGGAGUCUGGGACUGCGGGAGCGGUUACAACCGACAGUACGCUGGUAGGAGGAGUGCUUGUUGAUACGCUUGGAGACGCGGAGGCAGGAGCAGCAGCUGCAGUGCUGACACUCGAACUGCCAGGCCCAGAAGUGCUCUGUUUUGUAAGACUGGGUGCUGGAGGUGUCACAGUUUUAUUAUCUAGUUCUGCUGGUGAUUGCUCUGUUCCCAAACUAUUUGGGACCGACGUUUCUAGUCCCUGACCUUCUGCUUCUCCAUCCAAAGCAUAUUGCUCUUCCCCUUUCUCAAGGGAGCCAGUGACUUUCUUGCACGCUUUAGUCAGCAAGAGUUGGCCAAUCUUGUCUACUUUUCCCUUUCCCUUACUCGAUGAAACAGGACUGCGUCUGUUCCCAGAUCCUGGACUACUCGUAAGAAGAGGUGAAACAACAGGUCCAGACUGCGUUGCUGUAACAGAGCACUGGUCACUCGACCCACCACUUUGAGAAGCAGUCUCCUCUGGGCUGAAGUCUUUGACUUGCUGAGCAGGAAGAUGUGAAGGAACACCGGAAGAAGUUGUAGCGGGAGAAGACAGCUGAAUGGGAGGUGCCAAGGGAUUAAGAACCAGUGGCCUGCUGGUGGGAAUACUAGAAACAGGACUGCUGGAUGACGUGCUGGGAGGAGCGGGCCCGGAGGAGAACUUUAUAUUCUGUGGUAUAUGCAAAGGACCAACGACCGCGACCGACUGAGGCAUUAGACUAGAGUUAGAAGUCAUUGGCGCUGCUGGAAUUGUACUUGAUUGAGAGCCCUUCAUAACCUGAAUUAUUGACGAUGAGUUUAUAAAAACAGGUGUAAUAAACUGUGGCCGGGCGUUAGACUGAACUGCUGACUGUCCCUCAGAAACCAUAACUUUGUUCCCUACGUUGGGCAUUGUGACAACAGUCGACACUAAUGCAGGUUGCAAGUGAGAUGGCAACGGUGCUGAUGUAUUAGCAGAAGACGUAAUAGGGUUUGAAGUUACAAAAACUGUUAUCUGGUUGGGGGGUAAAGGACCUGAAAUAGAAGAAGAGCUGACAGGCCUUUGCAUUACUGGAGGAACACUCUGUGCAACGUUUGAGUUUAUUUCUCCCAGUUCCUGGUGCCCUGGAUUUGAACAGGGCUCAUUAUUUUGAGGCAAGCUAAGUGAACUAGAUGGCUCCUUGCUCGAGGAUGAAUCUUGCAGUGGAGGAAUGACAGCUAUCUUCUUUAGCUCCUCACCAGUGGUGACUAUUGGUGCCAUUUCAAGACCAGUCAGCCCAGGGGGCUUAAUGGUUACGUUAGGAGCUCCAGAAUUAUCAAGAAGUUGACUUAAAGAAGUUGGUGCCUCCCUCAUAGCUGGAGAUACCAUGGUUUUACUUUCCUCCAAGACUGGAAGCUUACUGGUGUCUAAGGCUUGCCCGUCUUUUUUCGGCUGUUCUUCUGGAACCAACAUUUUCAUUUCUGGAGUAGGGAUACCUUUCAGUUCAAUACUGGGCUGGUCUUUGUUACCUUGGACACCUUGUGCACUUUGACACUCGUUACCUUGAGGCACACUAAGACUCUCUUUAUUGUCUUCAGGAAUGCCAGUCAUAGCAGGUACAGAAAUCGUGGGAUUCUGAUUACUUAGCAUGUUAUUAUUUUGAAAACUUGUAGUCACAGGUGUUGGCAAAGAAGAGGGACCAGCCAUCAUAUUUCUUUGUAAUUCCAUGUUCUGCAAGAGAGAUGGAUUCUGCUGAGUUGUCAAUGAUAAUUUAGCUGCUUUUGAAUUCUGCCUGCCAGGGCUUGGUGUAGUUUUCCUACUGGAUCCAGGACUGGACCUUCGACUAUUGCUUGGACUUGCUCUCUUUGUUCCUCCAGCAUUGGUUUGUUUUCCUGAAUUAAUGACCACGCCUUCCAAUUUGUGUGACUGUGGAGCAGCAAAACUAGACUGAUUGUUAAUUGUGAGAUUUGAUGGGGCUUGUCCAAUGGCCUUCAAAGUCGUGGGAUUAAGACCCUGCUGAUCAAAUCCUCUAUUGAGAUUAGGCCUGGGAGGUAAAGGAAUAUUAAUUUGGGGAGGGAACAGACCAGCUAUAGAAGCAUUGAGUCUCUCUGGAGACAAGCUAAUUUCUGAUGGUUCUGUGCUAGGUGGACGGUUAUUAGGAGUCUGAGGAUAGUAUGGCCUUGGGCUUGCUCUGUUUGGGGUUUUAGGCCUUGAAGUUUGUGAUGGGGUGGCAACAUUUGGAAAAUGGUGUGUAAGAGCGCUAGGCAGAGAAUUAGACUGCUGCUGGGGACUUGCACCUUGGGCAGUUGAAAGUGGGGAUGGUCCAGGUUUGGGUCCCGUCAUCAUUAAUUGGUUCUGUGAAACUACUAAAUGAGAUGUCAAAUUAUUCUGAGCUCCUGAUGCUGGGGGGCCUUCAGCUCCACCUCCUUCUGGAAGGGAGGAUACUGAUGAAACCUCUCCAAGGGGCGAGCUGGAAGGAUUCUGUACAUUAUCUUGAUAAACCAUUUUUCUUGCAUUAUUUCCCAGAGGAGGAUUGCCUGGCAGGGAAAUUCUUUGUUUAUCAGGAGACGGAGGCACUGAUCCAGGACCUUGGAGGUUAACCAUUACCGGCAUGUUACCACUCUGCUGCAUCGGCAUUCGUUGAGCAUCUGGAUUCAGAGGCCCUCUAGGCAUCGACGACUGAUCGCUCUCCUCGAGGCCAGCUGGACGUGGUUCUGAAGAACUGAAAGAAAAAUAACUGCAAUUAAGAUCCAGCCCUCACAUCAGUGUUUCACUUCUGCUACCAUAACUAAGUACUCAAGUAAUUAAUUCCUAACACUUUCACAGACCUGCAAGUAACUCACCAAAAUGCACCACUACCUCUGGUGUAACACGACAAACUUGAAUGCAGAGUCCAGGUCUGCUGACAGUCACUCCUGUGCCUUAAAAUACUACCGAAAAGGAAACAAGUUGCCUGGUGCUCUAUUGAUCUUCAA